AAACCAUGGUGAGUGCAUCUUCUCAAUAGAUCCUUGUAUCUCUCUCAUGCAUCAUAUAGAGUUUCUAAAUCCAUCUACACAAAAGAAGAGAUAUCAUUCCUCAAUUU
rfam:Gossypium arboreum cultivar AKA8401 contig_26675_1, whole genome shotgun sequence.